rnacentral:rRNA from 1 species
CGAAUUAAAUUAGAGCUUGCUCUAGUUUAAUUAGUGGCAAACGGGUGAGUAAUACGUGGGAAUCUACCCAUCAGUACGGAAUAACAUUUGGAAACAGAUGCUAAUACCGUAUAUUAUCGAGAGAGGAAAGAUUUAUCGCUGAUGGAUGAGCCCGCGUCGGAUUAGGUAGUUGGUGGGGUAUAGGCCUACCAAGCCUAUGAUCCGUAGUUGGUCUGAGAGGAUGAACAGCCACGCUGGGACUGAGACACGGCCCAGACUCCUAUGGGAGGCAGCAGUAGGGAAUAUUGGCAAUGGGCGAAAGCCUGACCCAGCGAUGCCGCGUGAGUGAUGAAGGCCCUUGGGUUGUAAAGCUCUUUCAGCAAGGAAGAUAAUGACGGUACUUGAAGAAGAAGCCCCGGCUAACUCCGUGCCAGCAGCCGCGGUAAUACGGAGGGGGCUAGCGUUGUUCGGAUUUACUGGGCGUAAAGCGCGCGCAGGCGGAUUGGUAAGUUGGAAGUGAAAUCCCUAAGCUUAACUUAGGAACUGCUUUUGAAACUGCCAGUCUAGAGUAUGAUAGGGGAUAACGGAAUUCCUAGUGUAGAAGUGAAAUUCUAAGAUAUUAGGAGGAACGCCAAAGGCGAAAGCAGUUAUCUGGGGCAUUACUGACGCUGAGGCGCGAAAGCGUGGGGAGCAAACAGGAUUAGAUACCCUGGUAGUCCACGCUGUAAACGAUGAGUGCUAGAUAUCGGGAAUUUAUUUCUCGGUUUCGCAGCUAACGCAUUAAGCACUCCGCCUGGGGAGUACGAUCGCAAGAUUAAAACUUAAAGGAAUUGACGGGGACCCGCACAAGCGGUGGAGCAUGCGGUUUAAUUCGAUGUUACGCGAAGAACCUUACCAACUUUUGACAUGGCGAUUAAAGGGGAUAGAGAUAUCUUUGUCAGUUCGGCUGGAUCGCACACAGGUGUUGCAUGGCCGUCGUCGGCUCGUGUCGUGAGAUGUUGGGUUAAGUCCCGCAACGAGCGCAACCCCCAUUCUUAUUUGCCAACAGGUAAUGCUGGGAACUAUGAGGAAACUGCCAGUGAUAAGCUGGAGGAAGGUGGGGACGAUGUCGGGUCAUCAUGGCCCUUACAAGUUGGGCUACACGCGUGCUACAAUGGUAGGUACAAAGAGCAGCAAUACAGCGAUGUGGAGCAAAUCUUAAAAAGCUAUCUCAGUUCAGAUUGCACUCUGCAACUCGAGUGCAUGAAGUAGGAAUCGCUAGUAAUCGCGGAUCAGCAUGCCGCGGUGAAUACGUUCCCGGGUCUUGUACACACUGCCCGUCACACUAUGGGAAUUGGUUUUACCUUAAGCUGGUGAGCUAACGAAAGAGGCAGCCAGCCAUGGUAGGGUCGGUGACUGAAGUGAAGUCGAAACAAGGUA